AAGUAUGUUUUCAAUAAACAUACUCAUCGACUUUACUUUUAUUUUGUUUUUCUUAGAACUCCUAUCCUCAGAAGAGUUAGAGUGGUAUCACUGGAUCAGAGGAGGAAGAACCUUGAACCUAGCAAUAACUUCGAACUAUAGCUUCAUGCUUUCGUUGAGAACAUAGAUUCUACUGCCAGGAAGUAAUAGAGUCUCAUAAUCAGCUAAGAGAUAAAACCACUUAUUUUAGUAAUGCUUGAGUUAUAUUGUUAUAAGAGCACAAAUAAAUGCUCAAGAUUCCUACA
rnacentral:lncRNA from 1 species